rnacentral:misc_RNA from 1 species
UACGAAGGGCCCAAGCGUUAAUCGGAAUCACUGGGCUUAAAGGGUGCGCAGGCGGAUCUGUAAGUGUCUUGUGAAAUCCCAGGGCUCAACUCUGGAAUUGCUUGGCAAACUACAGGUCUUGAGCACGGCAGAGGUCGUCGGAACGCUAGGUGGAGCGGUGAAAUGCGUAGAUAUCUAGCGGAACGCCAAAGGUGAAGACAGACGGCUGGGCCGUUGCUGACGCUCAGGCACGAAAGCAUGGGUAGCGAACGGG